CAGCCGCCGCGGUAAUACGGAGGGGGCUAGCGUUGUUCGGAAUUACUGGGCGUAAAGCGCACGUAGGCGGCUUGGUAAGUUAGAGGUGAAAGCCUGGAGCUCAACUCCAGAAUUGCCUUUAAGACUGCCGAGCUAGUAGGUGAGAGAGGUAAGUGGAAUUCCGAGUGUAGAGGUGAAAUUCGUAGAUAUUCGGAAGAACACCAGUGGCGAAGGCGGCUUACUGGCUCAUUCUAGACGCUGAGGUGCGAAAGCGUGGGGAGCAAACAGGAUUAGAUACCCCGGUAGUCCCUGUCUCUUAUAC
rnacentral:rRNA from 1 species